rnacentral:rRNA from 1 species
CCUGACGGUAGUCGUAUGCUCGUCUCCGAGACUAAGCCAUGCAAGUCCAAGUACACGUCCUUGAACGACGGAAACUGCGAACGGCUCAUUAAAUCAGUUGCGAUCUACUCGGCGUUCCGCGCCGCCGGAUAACCGUAGUAAUUCUAGGGCUAAUACGUGCGAAGCGCCCGAAGCCGCGAGGCGACGGGCGUUCUCGCCGGAUGUAGGAACCGACCCGGGGACCGCCGGGGCAACCCCGGCGCCCCCGAGACGGGGCGAACCACGGUGAAAUGACGGAUCGUCGGCCCCGCGCCGGCGACUCGCCGAAUGAGUUUCUGACCUAUCAACUCGAGACGGCGGGGUAGAGGCCCGCCGCGGUAACGACGGGUAACGGGGAAUCAGGGUUCGAUUCCGGAGAGGGAGCCCGAGAAACGGCUACCACUUCCAAGGAAGGCAGCAGGCGCGCAACUUACCCUAAUCUCGAUUCGAGGAGGUAGUGACAAGAAAUACCGAUGCGGGACCC